rnacentral:lncRNA from 1 species
CUUACUUAUAAAAUACAAAAAUACCCAGAUCAGUGGAGACAGGACAUGUAACUGGCACACACAUGCCAGUUAUGGUUAUUCUGAUAAUAGAAAUUGACUCAAGUGACAAUUCUGAUAGUAUAAUAGAAAUUGGACCUAGUGAAAAUUUGGAUGACACCAAGUGAAACACCAAUCAUGCAUCUUAUGUGAAAUUAUAGAAUAUGGAAAAUUUGGGUACAGCAUUGUAGAAGCUGUAGGAUUUUUAAAAGGGUAUUUGUCGAAAAAUUAAACUGAAGACACAUCUUUAUUUGCAUCAAUGGUUUCUGAGCUUCAAUUUUCGCCAUGUGAAGCAGUUAAAAAGCUUUUAAAAAUAUGGUGGUCAGGAUUCUCUUUCAUGUAAAUGAAAAGAGAGGGAGUAGCACUUAUAAUAUAAAUGCUAAAAGAAAAAGAUGUUGUAUAAUUCCCAAAGCCAUAAUUCAAACCCAUACCACUUAGUAAUGUAAAACAAUUCAAAAGAGAAAACUAACUGCCUAAUUUAUCCACAAAAUAGUGAACGAGAAACUUAGUAACACAGUAACAAACUACAAC